UAGCGUAGGGGGGCAAGCGUUUGUUCCGGGAAUUAUUGGGCGUAAAGAGCGCGUAGGCGGUCCGAUAAGUCGGCUGUGAAAGUCAGGGGCUCAACCCUUGAAAGCCGGCCGAUACUGUCGGACUAGAGUCCGGAAGAGGCAAGUGGAAUCCCGGUGUAGCGGUGAAAUGCGCAGAUAUCGGGAGGAACACCAAUGGGCGAAGGCAGCUUGCUGGGACGGUACUGACGCUGAGGCGCGAAAGCGUGGGGAGCAAACAGG
rnacentral:rRNA from 1 species